UCUACGGGGGGCAGCAGUGGGGAAUAUUGCACAAUGGGGGAAACCCUGAUGCAGCGACGCCGCGUGAGUGAAGAAGUAAUUCGUUAUGUAAAGCUCUAUCAGCAGGGAAGAGCAGAAGACGGUACCUGUCGAAUAAGCCACGGCUAACUACGUGCCAGCAGCCGCGGUAAUACGUAGGUGGCAAGCGUUAUCCGGAUUUAUUGGGUUUAAAGGGUGCGUAGGCGGAUCGUUAAGUCAGUGGUCAAAUUGAGGGGCUCAACCCCUUCCCGCCAUUGAAACUGGCGCUCUUGAGUGGAAGAGAAGUAUGCGGAAUGCGUGGUGUAGCGGUGAAAUGCAUAGAGAUCACGCAGAACCCCGAUUGCGAAGGCAGCAUGCCGGCUUCCGACUGACGCUGAAGCACGAAAGCGUGGGGAUCGAACAGGAUUAGAUACCCGUGUAGUC
rnacentral:rRNA from 1 species